GUGUGACUCGGGUAAGAUCACUUCAGAUUUUAUGCUUGAUCAACUUCGUUUUGUCUAAAAACUUCGCGUGAGUGCGUAGCGUCGGGCGCGUUGAUAUUCACGGGAUAGUGACAAUCAUGAUGUAUCGCAUCGUAGAGUUGUGUCCGACGUGUCAUCGCCGUUCUUUGUGUUGUGACACCUUGCGUAUUCAACGACGAGAAGUGCAGAUGUACGCCCAGAUGCAAGAGAAUAUCACGUCACGGUGUUGUCGACAAAGUGACGAGAAAACGAUCGAAUCGGGAAGUGAAUAUUUACCGUCAUUUUCUCGCUAUUUUGAUAGUCACGUUGAUAUGCUUUUCUGUUCUGUCUGUAUGUACGCUACUAUCUGCGGUAAUAUUCCGUCGUGAUCUGAUUGCGUGGAUACGACCUUUGUAAUUAUUCUCCAAUUAUGGUCGAAUGUGCGACAAUUAACGGCGAUUAAUCGGAAUUAAUGGGUUAAUAGGGCAUUGUCUCGAUCCUCCAAUCAGAGGCGUCGUUUCGCUAUAGGGUAUUUCCAUGUAACAAUCGAGAUAGCCGAAAAAGACGCCUGCUCUGAAGUUGGCUGCUAGAGUUACGCGUUCCAACGUCCGCCCUUUCCGAUUUGGAAAUUUGCACGUACUGGUCGGCUGCGCAUCGCUCCUCACUUUUUCCGCUGAAUGAACAGAUAGAAACUCACGAGAUGUGUGAAAUCUAUGGUUUGCGUUGUCGUUCGACUUCGUAGUGCAUUGCCGACAAAGCCCGCGGCGAUGAUUGUGUUCGUGAUCCUGGAUCGCAGGGAGUUCGUCGCGGAUCGUGAGGCGCAACGUCCUUCGUGUAGAUUCUUCUUCUCGUAACAUCGCUGCGGAUUCUGCAGCGAAGACUGUUGUUUCAGCUCGUUGAAAAAAAAUACAAGAAUAUUCGACACUAUAUUCGUAGCGUGAAUGAAUUCAGACUGAAUAGAAUAUUCUAGUCGGCCGGCCGGUCGCCUUUUAUUUUCCAAGUUUUUGCUACAAGAAAAGUUUCGUACACACAGAGAAAGAAAGAAAAAAGGAGUGAGAGAGAGGGGGGAGUGUAGUCGGGAGAUAAUCUUUGGACUCAUAAUUCUCAACCUGUUAAGAAAAGUUGUCGUCAUGAUACCUGCGGCCUGAUUGUCGUAACGCCUACUGAAUGAAUAGCUGAAUGAAUAACAGCAAUCUGCCAGCUAAACGCAAUGAGUAUACACAAGGCGCGGUCUUAAUCCAUUGAGAAGAGCUGUCUUUGUCAUUGUGACUUCUACGGCCUUAUUGUCGUCGUAGCUCCUGUUGAUUGAGUCGUCGCAGCAACCUGCCAGCCUGCUCAGUACGCAAAUUGUACGCUCCCUCGUCGAGGAAAGAACCCGACUUCGGUGAGUGUCCCGUAACUCGUGAGAGGACGCGUAGCGACAUUAAUUUCUGAAUAGCGCGACUAGCCCGGGCCAGGAAUCAUUAUGACGCGUGAAAGGUCCAUCGCAAGCGGCAGCAGAAGCAGAGCCAGCGUGUGCACCUUUAUCAGCCGCUUCUCCUCAGCACGACGAGGAGGAGCACGACGACGCCGCCGGUCUACGUUGGAGUAAUCGCGCGUCGACGGGGAUAUUAUUCACCGGUUCGCCCUGUUCUCGUGCGAUACCGUACGAUUGAACGAUUGUACCUAGGGCGAUCGGCCAGGAAUAAUGUGGGCGGUCGCUAUCGCGAUAUCGAUAUCACUCGAUAUAUGCCGAGAGCAAGGAACGUGCGCGCGUGUGCCCGUCGACGACUCUGAAAAUUUGCAGGCGACUCUCCCUUUGUGCCGUGAGCGUCCCGGAGAAAGGGGAGAAAGAGGCGAAGAGCUAGUCCCAGACCCUUCACAAGAGUCCUUCGCCGGCGCCUGCUCGUGACUUCACAUGAGUACAAAAUAUCGUUUAUACGGCGCAAGUGGAUUUCUUGUCCCUCGCAGUUUAUCAGCAACGACGACUGGCGGCUCUAUUUUCUCCGAGAGCGAGAUGGAGAGAAAACGCGCUGUCAUCUUUACGAGUAUUUCGCCAGACAAUGAUACGCAGACGUGUUGGUGCGUUGAUGUGCGGAAGAGACGCGGUAGCGAGUUGCGCUAAGUGUGUCUCUAGUGACACAUCAAUAAAAUAUUGCAUCAGGGAGUGCUCGCGAGAAAGGGAGGUGGCAAGAAGAGAGAAAGAGACACCACAUGUCGAGCGUUGUUCAAAUAAGUAAAUGUCGGGCUAAUAACGGUCGUGCCCGGCGACGGUCAGGAAGCCCACCUGACGGGAUAAUGAUAUAAAUACAAACACAAGCCGUACAUUCCUGCGGAUUCACGCGAUUCUUAAUCCCGACGACCGCCCAAACCAAUCCCUCUCGGAAUCCUUCAUGAUAAUUCAUUGGAUUAAGUUUGUGAUUACUCUAAGCAAGCACGUAAGAAUAUUCUUUCCUAUUUCUCUAUUAUUAUAAAUGUACUUUAUAUAACGGUGUGCGAAUUUGAACAUAUAUGUGAAGUACAAGAUGUAAUAGAGCCUAGACAGGAGAGAGUUUAACGAGAUAUGCGCGAUUCCACGCGAGCAAUUGCAAAGCGAUUUCGUGUAAUUAGCAAAGAAUUUAAAUUGACGAUCACGCGAGUUGCGUUUACUAAGUCUUUCGCUUUAGAUGUUAAACGUUUAACAUUUGAAGCAACAAGGAAAAAGAAGAAACAUAUCAGAGUAAAACAUCUAAUUAUUGACAUCCCCUUUAGUCAUUAACACUCUCGAGAAACCUGGUUAUUCUCGAGACCAAAACGCUUCUGUUCACAGUUUUAGUCGUGAAAAUCUCUUUUGAAAUCAUAGAAUGCAUGUGAGAAAUUUAACUUCAACGCUCUUCGCAAGAAAAGUCGGGUUUUUUCUAAAGUAUCAAUGUGACACUAAGAGAAAAAGACAUAGUAACGACGACUAUGGUGAAAACUAUACGAAUUCUUUAUGUAAAAUUGUAAUGUAUAUAAUUUAAUAAACUAUUUCGUAGUUGAUUGCACACAACUGAAGCAUCAAUAGCAACAAUUACGAAAUAAUUUACUAAACUAUAUACAAUUCUACAUAUAAAACUCGUAUAGUUGUCAUCAUCAUAUUUUUCUCUGAGUGUACACGGAGAUAAUUUUAUAGUGUUUUUCGUAUAAAUUCUUGUUGAUUCGUAAUAUUUUUCUUGUAGCAUAGGAUUGUCGCAGUAGAAUUUGUUUUGCAAAGAAGUAUAGUAAAUUUCAUAAUAAAUCUUGCUAGAAACUAGCAAAUAUUUAAUAGCACUUUCAGUUCUUAAAAUGUAAAUGUAAAUGGUUCUUAAAAUAUAAAAGGAAAGGAAAGGAAA